UUUUAAAUUGAGAGUUUGAUCCUGGCUCAGGACGAACGCUGGCGGCGUGCCUAACACAUGCAAGUCGAGCGAUGAAACUUCCUUCGGGAAGUGGAUUAGCGGCGGACGGGUGAGUAACACGUGGGUAACCUGCCUCAAAGAGGGGGAGAGUCUCCCUAGAGGGCGAUUAAUACCGCAUAACAGUAAUUCAUGGCAUCAUA
rnacentral:rRNA from 1 species